rnacentral:lncRNA from 1 species
UUGGAUCUCUCUAUUUCUUAAUGCAAUUGACAAUUGUUUUGAUGCCUAAGGCCCAAGGACGUUCCUUGGCAAUUUGUUAAUUAGUAAUUAAUUAGAGAAUAUUCCCUAAUUGGUUUAAUCAUAGGGAGAGAUAAUGGUGGUGAGAAGCGUCUUCCAUCUCCAUAACUAAUCUAUUGAAUCAACCCAAAAGAACAAAGUGUCUGUGAUCAAUCCCAACAACUAAAGUGGAUCCAAUACUUCAACUAGAACUUUCUCAUCAUUGAUUACUUUUUAUUUAAUUAUUUGCUUUCUAUUAUUAUUCUCAUUAUUAGUUUACUACAAUCAAUCUCAAACCCC